GGAAGGCAGCAAAGAGCAACUCAGAACAGCUGGGCGUCGGCUUCGACAGGAGCAGGAGGAAGGCAGAAUUUCCAUAUGUGAUGAGUAUGAACUGUAAGUAAAAAUCUACACGGAACCCAUAAAAGAUCAGUGCAAUAAAUAGAGAAAGUGAAAGACAAGUCCAAGUCCAGAGAACUCAGCAGGCUGCAGCUCAGGGAUAGAGCGCUUACCUGCCAUGCAAAGGGCCCGGUUUCAAUCCCCAGCUCCAAAAGCACAGGGACGAAAGAAAGAAGGGAGGAAAGAAGGAAAGGAGGGCUGCAGGCAGCUAAGUUAGAUGGAGGUGAAUACACAGUCAGAGGGCGCUGGGCUGUGAAGGAAUUAGCAGAAAAGAAAGACAUCAAACUGCAUCUGAAGACCAGGCCUCACGACACAGAGGCAGCGGCCAGGCCCACGCGCCAUCCAAGGGAUCAGCAGCAUCCUGGAAUUAUAUAUCAAUGCAGGAUGAGCGUUUAGCCACCUUGACUCUACACACAUCAUCUCUCUCCUGUCUGGGUCAACCAAGCUCGCCGUGGCCUCUACAGCCCUGGGUACUGGGGCAUCCUUCACCCCAUCUGCUGUGGCCUGGAGGGCAGGAGCCAGCUGCAAGUAGAUGCUUGAAUGGGAGGAUGCUGGGCAGAGAACUUGAUCUUGAUCACGACAGCUUAACUACCGCUCAGAACUAUGUUGUAACUCUCAUGACAAUUUACUAUGAGCAUCAUUUUUUUCUUGUUAUUGUUAAAAAAUACAAAAAUUGAAAAUAUUUUUCUUUAUGAGAACUUAAAUGGAACAUUUAAGAAAAAUAGAUAAUGAAAGGAGAAUUUCCUCUCAUUUUUUUUCUUUUGGUACCAGGGAUAAAACUCCUGACCUUGCGCUUGCCAGGCAGGCACUUAGGCCACUGAGCUAAAUCCCUGGCCCUCACUUACUUUUUUCUAAUGCAAUUUAUUCCUAAAGAAUAAGCAAGUAUCUACUUGACCCUCCUCAGAACACAAGGAGUGCUGCCCAAGUGACAGAGGCAGUCCAUGAGCACGGUGCCACCAAGGGACAGGUCUGCUGAAAAAGCCCCAUGCUCUGUGAUAGCCUCGGUGACAGGGCUAGCUCCUGCUUUGGGAACUUUACUAUUCACUGUAAACACACCAAAACUAAGAACUUACUGUAAGAGAAACAAAGCGCAUUGCUGGUUGGCUUUCUAUUUUGCACACAUUAUAAUUAUUUUCAUCAUGUAGUUCUGAGAUACAAAAUCUUGCAAUGUUUCUGGAUUUAUAAGGCAAGUGUAAAACUUCCUAAUUUUGUUGUUCAGCUCUGCUGCCAUGUGACCUGUACCUAAGGGUGUUUUGUUUUGGGAGUGUUUUUUUUUUUUCUCUUUUUCUCAAAAAGCUAAAAAGAAAUCAAUAAAUAAUUCCAAAUUCCAAAUAAUUCCAAAUAAUUGGAAGUCUUCCAGAUUUUGAAAUGUUUCUUGCUUUAUUCUCUUUUGUGAGGAGACCAAGAAAUCCUUCAAAAUGAAAAUCAGGAGCCGGACAGAACUCGGGAAGGAGCAGGAAGCAGCAGCAGUCUGCUCACCCACUUCGCGCUGUGCGAGCGACACAGGCCGACACGGCGGCAUUGGUGUCUGGGCUUUCCACAGCGCAUCCCUCCACUGUCAGAUCUGAUGCCAGCCUGCAAGCCUGGCAGAGUAGGCGGCAUCCUUCCCAUCUUACAGCGAAAGAAACAAAAGACAGCAACAUCCCGAGGGCAAUGAUCAGUAGAUCAAAAUAAACUAGCAAUGAAAGAGCUUCUUUUAAUUUUUAAUUAAAAAAAAAAACAGAUACAAUGGAAUAGAGAAAGACAGAAAUGUACAAGAGACAAAAGCUCGGGUCGGUCCUGUUUGGUGGGGAGGGAGGGAAACGCUUGGCCACCGCAGAAAGAGCUAGUACAGAGAGGAAGAUGAGGCAAGAAAGCCGGUGAAGCCUGAGCUCCCUUUUGCAACUCACACAGUUACUAGUAUUUGUUAUAUGCAUCAAUUACAGGCAAAAUAUACUGCAGACAACAUCCUUCUACAAUCUGCAAUCUCUAUGAAGUGUCAUGAACUCUUCAGCAACCCACUGGACUGUCGCUAUUGCUGUUUUUCCCACUGAAGACACCGGGGUAUACAGUGGUUCAAUGAACUGUUUGUUGAGUGCUGUAACUUGGCAAGGGCGGUCACUGGCAUUUGAGUCAAACAUACGGAAUCCAGAGUUCACCCUACAGAGUUGGUGGGAUAGAGUUCAUGUGUACUGUGCUCCUCUAAAGAAGACAAAGACUCAGGCGAGGCUCUCCUGAACUGCAUCAUUGAGACAACCUGUUCUGAUGGGAAACAGUAUGGAGGCUGAGCUGUGAGGCCAAUCCAUCUCUACUUGCCUUUUCAGUGGAAGCCACAAAGAGCCAACGCAUACGUUGUUAGACGUGGAAUUUCUAAUAUCUGUAGCCUUCGUGGGCUUCAUACUAUAUGCAUACAAUAAUAAGACCUGUAAGCAAAAGAAAAACAUAACUAGCAAAAUCACACUGCCUCACAACGUUCAGCAUGAGUCCUCAAAAUCUAACUGCACUUUGUCAAGGUUUUUCUUUAGGGAAAAAAAAAAAAAACCUGAAGGCCCCCCUCCCCCCAUUCAGUGUAAAGAGAAAUGAUAGGAAUGACAAUUGUGCCAAGGAGGUCAGAUGAAAAUCUAGCACCAUUUGGUGAUAAUAAAUUAUUUCUAAAGGGUGAUUCUGCACUUCGAUGAAGUUUCAAUUUCAGCCUUUGAAGGCCUUUUGUUGCAGGUUCUAAAGACACACCUGGUGAACGUCCGAUUGUAUUUCCUGUUCCUUCCCAUGUGUGCCUUUCCCUCAGCAUCCUACCCACCCCCAUGAACUCCCUGACGCUGCUCCCUUCCUCUCCCCUCCAUUAUCGAGCCACGCCUGACUUGCAACCCCCACCCCUAAGAGGUGGCUUCUCUUGACGACGCAUGCUCUAUUAAGUCCCGUUGUGCGGAUUCCGAUGAUUCACGGUGUCAGCCCCCUACGACACAGCACUGACUUACAGCCAUGUAUUGGCGGAAUUUGAGAUUCAGAUAGCCUUGGAGAUGAUCUGGUCUAAUUCUCUCCUCCUAGAUGAAGAAAGCUGAGGCCCACAGCUGGCCCUCCAACUGACUAAUCAAGCACUUUCAUUUAUCCUGCUUCCUUGAAAAAUCAAACUAAAAUAAGAGUAAAGGGAUUUUUUUUUAAAUCAUAAAGCCACGAGGACAGGAAGAAGACAGGUGAGACAACAGUGUUAGUAACACUCUGCUGGUGACAAAGUGCGUGGAAACACGGCGAGGAAGGUGUACGCCCAGAAGGUCUCGAACAAAGAACUGCAGAGCCGGGGCAGAGGCAGGCGCUGAGGCAGCUGAGCUGUACGACUUCCCUCCCAGCCCUCUCUGGGACCAGACUGACAGAGUCACCCCUUUCUUUGUCACCUUUCUUAUGGCCAAACUUCUUCCGUGCUGCUCUGCUGAUAUUAAUCAGAGAGGCUCUAUACUCAGAGACGUCAGGUACAGACGUAGGUACCAUGGAGAAAAUACUAAAAUUAAUGUAUUCUGAAUCACAUAUAUUCUCCUACCCACCAAUAGCCCUUUUCCAGAAUGUAGGUGACUAAACAGGAAUCUAUAAAAAUCCUCUUUGGGGGAACUGACCAGUCAAACAGAAAAGACCCAAGACACUGACAUUCUGCAUCCUCUAACGAACUGCUGGUUCCUUCUUAACAAUCCUAUAAUCAGAGCUCUGGAUCAAUAAGCCUAACCCAAAGUGCUUCCCAGUGCCUCGCUCCAAACACGAGUAGACAGCCAAGAGUCCACUGGUCAGGAAAGGGAAGGCAGAAACCAAACAAACGAAAGAGAGGAAUUUGGGGAAUCAGAUACAAUCCAGAGCAGAAAAA